rnacentral:rRNA from 1 species
AGAGUUUGAUCCUGGCUCAGAUUGAACGCUGGCGGCAUGCCUUACACAUGCAAGUCGAACGGCAGCACGAGAGCUUGCUCUUGGUGGCGAGUGGCGAACGGGUGAGUAAUAUAUCGGAACGUACCCUAGAGUGGGGGAUAACGUAGCGAAAGUUACGCUAAUACCGCAUACGAUCUACGGAUGAAAGUGGGGGAUCGCAAGACCUCAUGCUCAUGGAGCGGCCGAUAUCUGAUUAGCUAGUUGGUGGGGUAAAAGCUCACCAAGGCGACGAUCAGUAGCUGGUCUGAGAGGACGACCAGCCACACUGGAACUGAGACACGGUCCAGACUCCUACGGGAGGCAGCAGUGGGGAAUUUUGGACAAUGGGCGCAAGCCUGAUCCAGCAAUGCCGCGUGAGUGAAGAAGGCCUUCGGGUUGUAAAGCUCUUUUGUCAGGGAAGAAACGGUGGACUCUAAUACAGAUCACUAAUGACGGUACCUGAAGAAUAAGCACCGGCUAACUACGUGCCAGCAGCCGCGGUAAUACGUAGGGUGCAAGCGCUAAUCGGAAUUACUGGGCGUAAAGCGUGCGCAGGCGGUUGUGCAAGACAGAUGUGAAAUCCCCGGGCUCAACCUGGGAAUUGCAUUUGUGACUGCACGGCUAGAGUGUGUCAGAGGGGGGUAGAAUUCCACGUGUAGCAGUGAAAUGCGUAGAGAUGUGGAGGAAUACCGAUGGCGAAGGCAGCCCCCUGGGAUAACACUGACGCUCAUGCACGAAAGCGUGGGGAGCAAACAGGAUUAGAUACCCUGGUAGUCCACGCCCUAAACGAUGUCUACUAGUUGUCGGGUCUUAAUUGACUUGGUAACGCAGCUAACGCGUGAAGUAGACCGCCUGGGGAGUACGGUCGCAAGAUUAAAACUCAAAGGAAUUGACGGGGACCCGCACAAGCGGUGGAUGAUGUGGAUUAAUUCGAUGCAACGCGAAAAACCUUACCUACCCUUGACAUGUCUGGAAUCCUUGAGAGAUCAGGGAGUGCUCGAAAGAGAAUCAGAACACAGGUGCUGCAUGGCUGUCGUCGGCUCGUGUCGUGAGAUGUUGGGUUAAGUCCCGCAACGAGCGCAACCCUUGUCAUUAGUUGCUACGAAAGGGCACUCUAAUGAGACUGCCGGUGACAAACCGGAGGAAGGUGGGGAUGACGUCAAGUCCUCAUGGCCCUUAUGGGUAGGGCUUCACACGUCAUACAAUGGUACAUACAGAGGGCCGCCAACCCGCGAGGGGGAGCUAAUCCCAGAAAGUGUAUCGUAGUCCGGAUUGUAGUCUGCAACUCGACUACAUGAAGUUGGAAUCGCUAGUAAUCGCGGAUCAGCAUGUCGCGGUGAAUACGUUCCCGGGUCUUGUACACACCGCCCGUCACACCAUGGGAGCGGGUUUCACCAGAAGUGGGUAGCCUAACCGCAAGGAGGGCGCUCACCACGGUGGGAUUCGUGACUGGGGUGAAGUCGUAACAAGGUA